rnacentral:rRNA from 1 species
CGGCGAGUGAAGCGGGAAGAGCUCAAAUUUGUAAUCUGGCGGCUUAUGGUCGUCCGAGUUGUAGUCUGGAGAAGCGUUUUCCGUGUCGGACCGUGUACAAGUCCUUUGGAACAGGGCGUCGCAGAGGGUGAGAAUCCCGUCUUUGACACGGACUGCCGAUGCUUUGUGAUGCGCUCUCGAAGAGUCGAGUUGUUUGGGAAUGCAGCUCAAAACGGGUGGUAAAUUCCAUCUAAAGCUAAAUAUUGGCAAAAGACCGAUAGCGAACAAGUACCGUGAGGGAAAGAUGAAAAGCACUUUGGAAAGAGAGUUAAACAGUACGUGAAAUUGUUGAAAGGGAAACGUUUGAAGUCAGUCGCGUCUCUUGGGACUCRGCCUUGCUUUGUUGCUUGGCGUAUUUCCUGGGGUUUGACGGGCCAGCAUCGAUUUCGAUCGUCGGAAAAAGGCUUUGGGAAUGUGGCACCUUUUGGGUGUGUUAUAGCCCUGGGUUGUAUGCGACGGUUGGGAUCGAGGAUUGCAGCACGCCCUUUGUGGUCGGGGUUCGCCCACGUUAACGUGCUUAGGAUGCUGGCGUAAUGGCUUUAAGCGACCCGUCUUGAAACACGGACCAAGGAGUCUAACAUGCCUGCGAGUGUUUGGGUGGAAAACCCGGACGCGGAAUGAAAGUGAGAGGUUGGGACCCCUGUCGUGGGGGGCMACCGACGCCCGGACCAGACCUUUUGUGACGGUUCCGAGGUAGAGCAUGCAUGCUGGGACCCGAAAGAUGGUGAACUAUGCCUGAGUAGGGUGAAGCCAGAGGAAACUCUGGUGGAGGCUCGUAGCGAUUCUGACGUGCAAAUCGAUCGUCGAACUUGGGGUAUAGGGGGCGAAAGACUAAUCGAACCAUCUAGUAGCUGGU